AUCCAACUGACGAGUCCGAAAUAGGACGAAACGUGCAU
rnacentral:hammerhead_ribozyme from 1 species